rnacentral:rRNA from 1 species
UAGGGAAUCUUCGGCAAUGGACGAAAGUCUGACCGAGCAACGCCGUGUGAGUGAAGAAGGUUUUCGGAUCGUAAAACUCUGUUGUUAGAGAAGAACAAGGACGUUAGUAACUGAACGUCCCCUGACGGUAUCUAACCAGAAAGCCACGGCUAACUACGUGCCAGCAGCCGCGGUAAUACGUAGGUAGCAAGCGUUGUCCGGAUUUAUUGGGCGUAAAGCGAGCGCAGGCGGUUUCUUAAGUCUGAUGUGAAAGCCCCCGGCUCAACCGGGGAGGGUCAUUGGAAACAGGGAGACUUGAGUGCAGAGGAGGGGAGUGGAAUUCCAUGUGUAGCGGUGACAUGCAUAGAUAUAUGGAGGAAAACCAGUGGCGAAGGCGGCUCUCUGGUCUGUAACUGACGAUGAGGCUCGAAAGCGUGGGGAGCAAACAGG